UACAGAGGUGCCAAGCGUUAGGCGGAAUCACUGGGCUUAAAGCGCGUGUAGGUGGACGGGUAAGUAUCUUGUGAAAUCCCACGGCUCAACCGUGGAACUGCUGGAUAUACUGCUUGUCUUGAGCACUUAGGGGCAGCUGGAACAAAUGGUGGAGCGGUGAAAUGCGUAGAUAUCAGGAGGAACACCGGUGGCGAAGGCGGGUCUCUGGGCCGAUACUGACGCUGAGGAGCGAAAGCGUGGGGAGCGAACAGG
rnacentral:rRNA from 1 species